rnacentral:rRNA from 4 species
AGACCCGAAACCCGGUGAUCUAGCCAUGGGCAGGUUGAAGGUUGGGUAACACUAACUGGAGGACCGAACCGACUAAUGUUGAAAAAUUAGCGGAUGACCUGUGGCUGGGGGUGAAAGGCCAAUCAAACCGGGAGAUAGCUGGUUCUCCCCGAAAGCUAUUUAGGUAGCGCCUCGUGAAUUCAUCUCCGGGGGUAGAGCACUGUUUCGGCUAGGGGGCCAUCCCGGCUUACCAACCCGAUGCAAACUGCGAAUACCGGAGAAUGUUAUCACGGGAGACACACGGCGGGUGCUAACGUCCGUCGUGAAGAGGGAAACAACCCAGACCGCCAGCUAAGGUCCCAAAGUCAUGGUUAAGUGGGAAACGAUGUGGGAAGGCCCAGACAGCCAGGAUGUUGGCUUAGAAGCAGCCAUCAUUUAAAGAAAGCGUAAUAGCUCACUGGUCGAGUCGGCCUGCGCGGAAGAUGUAACGGGGCUAAACCAUGCACCGAAGCUGCGGCAGCGAACGUAUCACCCAAGACAACUUUACGGAGUUGACGAUUGACGGAGCGAAGCGACGUCAAAGCGUUCAUUAAAGUCGAGUUGGCUUAGGGAUACGUUCGUUGGGUAGGGGAGCGUUCUGUAAGCCUGUGAAGGUGUGUCGUGAGGCA